rnacentral:rRNA from 1 species
AGUGAACGCUGGCGGUAGGCCUAACACAUGCAAGUCGAACGGCAGCACAGUAAGAGCUUGCUCUUACGGGUGGCGAGUGGCGGACGGGUGAGGAAUACAUCGGAAUCUACUUUUUCGUGGGGGAUAACGUAGGGAAACUUACGCUAAUACCGCAUACGACCUACGGGGGAAAGCAGGGGAUCUUCUGACCUUGCGCGAUUGAAUGAGCCGAUGUCGGUUUAGCUAGUUGGCGGGGUAAAGGCCCACCAAGGCGACGAUCCGUAGCUGGUCUGAGAGGAUGAUCAGCCACACUGGAACUGAGACACGCUCCAGACUCCUACGGGAGGCAGCAGUGGGGAAUAUUGGACAAUGGGCGCAAGCCUGAUCCAGCCAUACCGCGUGGGUGAAGAAGGCCUUCGGGUUGUAAAGCCCUUUUGUUGGGAAAGAAAAGCAGCAGGUUAAUACCCCGCUGUUCUGACGGUACCCAAAGAAUAAGCACCGGCUAACUUCGUG